AUUGAACGCUGGCGGCAUGCUUUACACAUGCAAGUCGAACGGCAGCGCGGGCUUCGGCCUGGCGGCGAGUGGCGAACGGGUGAGUAAUGCAUCGGAACGUGCCCAGUAGUGGGGGAUAGCCCGGCGAAAGCCGGAUUAAUACCGCAUACGACCUGAGGGGGAAAGCGGGGGACCGAAAGGCCUCGCGCUAUUGGAGCGGCCGAUGUCGGAUUAGCUAGUUGGUGGGGGAAAGGCUUACCAAGGCGACGAUCCGUAGCUGGUCUGAGAGGACGACCAGCCACACUGGGACUGAGACACGGCCCAGACUCCUACGGGAGGCAGCAGUGGGGAAUUUUGGACAAAGGGGGCAACCCUGAUCCAGCCAUGCCGCGUGCGGGAAGAAGGCCUUCGGGUUGUAAACCGCUUUUGUUCGGGAAGAAAUCCUCUGGGCUAAUACCCCGGGGGGAUGACGGUACCGGAAGAAUAAGCACCGGCUAACUACGUG
rnacentral:rRNA from 1 species